AGAGUUUGAUCCUGGCUCAGGAUGAACGCUAGCGGGAGGCCUAAUACAUGCAAGUCGAGCGGUAGAGUCCUUCGGGACUUGAGAGCGGCGCACGGGUGAGUAACGCGUACAUGACCUGCCUUUAAGACCGGGAUAGCCCUGGGAAACUGGGAUUAAUACCGGAUGUGAUAAUAUGUAUAGAGAUAUAUUAUUAAAGUUGAGGCGCUUAGAGAUGGGUGUGCGUUUGAUUAGCUAGUUGGUAGGGUAACGGCCUACCAAGGCGACGAUCAAUAGGGGGCGUGAGAGCGUGACCCCCCACACGGGUACUGAGACACGGACCCGACUCCUACGGGAGGCAGCAGUAAGGAAUAUUGGUCAAUGGACGGAAGUCUGAACCAGCCAUCCCGCGUGCAGGAUGAAGGUCCUAUGGAUUGUAAACUGCUUUUAGCAGAGACGAAACGCCGACAUUUAUGUUGGUCUGACGGUAUCUGCGGAAUAAGCACCGGCUAACUCCGUGCCAGCAGCCGCGGUAAUAC
rnacentral:rRNA from 1 species